rnacentral:lncRNA from 1 species
AAAUUCGACAAAACCACUCCCUGAGGUUUGAAGCCUAAAGCCCCUCUCCUCCUUCAAACCCUCAUCUCUCCUAUGUUCCUAUCCCUUCUUCCCUCUGCCUUCAAAGUAAACUAAACAGUCUCAGAGCCAUGGACCAACACAAGACCAACGAAACUUUAACAGAUCAGCUGGUGAGGCAGCUGCUCCUUUGGAAUUUAGUACCCAUCUAUGCUCUUGUUCUACAACAGAUCUGUCCCGAAGGCUUCUAAUGUCAGACCUCAAUCUCUCUAGUGAUUCGCAUAUGUUAAUCCCACACGCCUUCUUCUUCUCAAUGAUGUUUUUUCAUCUCCUAUUUAACCCGGUGAGUUGAGAUUCUUCCAUCUAGCUGAGAUUCUUCCUCUUUGUUAGCACAAAAGUUUCAUUUAUUAACCUAUACAACUGGGAAUGCUAAGCUUUUCUGCGAGAGAGUUGUACUAGAAUCUAUUUGUGAGGUAUUAAGUUGAAAUCAGUCUUCACCUUUUGUUGUCCACCUCGUGCAGGAGUAUGGGGAUCACUGAAGCAUUGUGGGUGCAGGUGUGGCUCCAAAACGGCUUCACGAACAAUUUGAAGUACGCAAUUGGAAGACAAAGAUUGGCUUCUCUAUCUUCUGUUUAGAAUGUGUAACAAUUGUUUGCUUGUUGGGAGCUGGGUAGGGUGUAAAGAAUCAAUGUAAUUUACAUCUUGAGAGUUCAGUUUUGUUUCUUGUUUAAAU